rnacentral:rRNA from 1 species
UAGGGAAUCUUCCACAAUGGACGCAAGUCUGAUGGAGCAACGCCGCGUGAGUGAAGAAGGUCUUCGGAUCGUAAAACUCUGUUGUUAGAGAAGAACACGAGUGAGAGUAACUGUUCAUUCGAUGACGGUAUCUAACCAGCAAGUCACGGCUAACUACGUGGCA